rnacentral:rRNA from 1 species
CCGGGGGCUGCAGUGGGGAAUAUUGCACAACGGGGGAAACCCUGAUGCAGCGACGCCGCGUGAGUGAAGAAGUAAUUCGUUAUGUAAAGCUCUAUCAGCAGGGAAGAAAAUGACGGUACCUGAGUAAGAAGCUGCGGCUAACUAAGUGCCAGCAGCCGCGGUAAUACGUAGGGGGCAAGCGUUAUCCGGAUUUACUGGGUGGAAAGGAGGCGUAGACGGCAGUGCAAGUCUGGAGUGAAAGGCGGGGGCUCAACCCCCGGACUGCUCUGGAAACUGUACGGCUGGAGUGCAGGAGAGGUAAGUGGAAUUCCUAGUGUAGCGGUGAAAUGCGGAGAUAUUAGGAGGAACACCAGUGGCGAAGGCGGCUUACUGGACUGUAACUGACGUUGAGGCUCGAAAGCGUGGGGAGCAAACAGGAUUAGAUACCCUUGUAGUC